rnacentral:rRNA from 1 species
GGUCCUACGGGGCACAGCAGUGAGGAAUAUUGGUCAAUGGGCGGAAGCCUGAACCAGCCAAGUCGCGUGAGGGAUUAAGGCCCUGCGGGUCGUAACCCUCUUUUGCCGGGGAGCAGUGGUCCGGACGCGUCCGGACCGGGAGAGUACCCGGAGAAAAAGCAUCGGCUAACUCCGUGCCAGCAGCCGCGGUAAUACGGAGGAUGCGAGCGUUAUCCGGAUUUAUUGGGUUUGAAGGGUGCGUAGGCGGGCAUUUAAGCCGGCGGUCAAAUGUCGGGGCUCAACCCCGGCCUGCCGUCGGAACUGUG